UACGUAGGUGGCAAGCGUUGUCCGGAUUUACUGGGCGUAAAGAGCGCGCAGGCGGUCGUUCAAGUCGCGUGUGAAAGCCCCCGGCUCAACUGGGGAGGUCACGCGAUACUGAUCGACUCGAAGGCAGGAGAGGGAAGUGGAAUUCCCGGUGUAGUGGUGAAAUGCGUAGAUAUCGGGAGGAACACCAGUGGCGAAGGCGGCGACCUGGGUCGAGACUGACGCUGAGGCGGCGAAAGCGGUGGGGAGCAAACAGG
rnacentral:rRNA from 1 species